GACGAACGCUGGCGGCGUGCCUAAUACAUGCAAGUAGAACGCUGAAGGAGGAGCUUGCUUCUCUGGAUGAGUUGCGAACGGGUGAGUAACGCGUAGGUAACCUGCCUGGUAGCGGGGGAUAACUAUUGGAAUCGAUAGCUAAUACCGCAUAAGAGUAGAUGUUGCAUGACAUUUGCUUAAAAGGUGCAAUUGCAUCACUACCAGAUGGACCUGCGUUGUAUUAGCUAGUUGGUGAGGUAACGGCUCACCAAGGCGACGAUACAUAGCCGACCUGAGAGGGGGAUCGGCCACACUGGGACUGAGACACGGCCCAGACUCCUACGGGAGGCAGCAGUAGGGAAUCUUCGGCAAUGGACGGAAGUCUGACCGAGCAACGCCGCGUGAGUGAAGAAGGUUUUCGGAUCGUAAAGCUCUGUUGUAAGAGAAGAACGAGUGUGAGAGUGGAAAGUUCACACUGUGACGGUAUCUUACCAGAAAGGGACGGCUAACUACGUG
rnacentral:rRNA from 1 species